rnacentral:rRNA from 1 species
AGUGAACGCUGGCGGUAGGCCUAACACAUGCCAGUCGAACGGCAGCACAGUAAGAGCUUGCUCUUACGGGUGGCGAGUGGCGGACGGGUGAGGAAUACAUCGGAAUCUACUUUUUCGUGGGGGAUAACGUAGGGAAACUUACGCUAAUACCGCAUACGACCUACGGGUGAAAGCAGGGGAUCUUCGGACCUUGCGCGAUUGAAUGAGCCGAUGUCGGAUUAGCUAGUUGGCGGGGUAAAGGCCCACCAAGGCGACGAUCCGUAGCUGGUCUGAGAGGAUGAUCAGCCACACUGGAACUGAGACACGGUCCAGACUCCUACGGGAGGCAGCAGGGGGGAAUAUUGGACAAUGGGCGCAAGCCUGAUCCAGCCAUACCGCGUGGGUGAAGAAGGCCUUCGGGUUGUAAAGCCCUUUUGUUGGGAAAGAAAAGCAGCAGGUUAAUACCCCGCUGUUCGGACGGUACCCAAAGAAUAAGCACCGGCUAACUUAGU